rnacentral:rRNA from 1 species
GUACGCUGGCGGCACGCCUAACACAUGCAAGUCGAACGAAGUAGCAAUACUUAGUGGCAGACGGGUGAGUAACAUGUAGGUAUCUGCCCUUUGGCCUGGAAUAACACGAGGAAACUUGUGCUAAUACCGGAUAAGUCUUUACGGAGAAAGCUUUAUGCACCAUUGGAUGAGCCUGCACUUGAUUAGUUUGUUGGUGGGGUAAUGGCCUACCAAGACUGUGAUCAAUAGCUGAUUUGAGAGGAUGAUCAGCCACAUUGGGACUGAGACACGGCCCAAACUCCUACGGGAGGCAGCAGUGGGGAAUCUUGCACAAUGGAGGAAACUCUGAUGCAGCGAUGCCGCGUGAGUGAAGAAGGCCCUUGGGUUGUAAAGCUCUUUCGUCGGGGAAGAAAAUGACUGUACCCGAAUAAGAAGGUCCG